CAUGUUCACUGAUUUAAUCCUCAUAAAGAGAGAUAUUCUUAUUGUCUCCAUUUUACAGAUAAAAAAAGUACCAUAUAGCCAUGCAGCUAGGAAAGAGUGGUGUCAGCAUCUGUCUCUAGGCUACCUGGCUCCAGAGUCUGUGCUGUUAACCAUUACCCACUGGAUCCACUAGUUGUUCUGCCAACUAUGCUGAUGGGAAGGGGUCAUCCAUGGAGAAGAGGAUGAAGGUACAAGAGGGGGAGAAAAGGCAGUAGGAUAAGUGGUGGGAGGGGAAUAAGAUCAAGAGAACAAGUGGAGAGGUUAACCCUAGACAGGGAGGAAUAUUGAAAUGGGAGGAAAAGAGGAUUGAAAGAAAAGGUAAAUGUGUAAGUUUAGUGGCAAGAAAUAGAAAAAAUUUCACAAGUGGUAAGGGAGAAAUGGCCUGGAAGCAGAAGUAGGGAGUAAAGAAGAUCAUGACCUAACCUUUUGAUCCAAAGGUUUUAUAUGGAAUGUGGGGAAAAGAGCAGCUUUCACUUGAGACAGGGCUGCUGAGUGUUUCUGGGGGAGCCAGGUUUCAAUCAAGUCAAGGAGGGAAGGCUCAAUGAAGAGGUCCAGGCUGUAGGGGGCUGGAUCAUGGGAUGAGAGUUACAGAGGGCUCAGAGUGAAGAUCUGGAAGGGAGGAGAGGAAUGGGGAUUGGGUUGAGAAGGAAGAGAACGGGAUACCAGUUGGGCUUAGGUCUUGGGUGGGGAUCAAGGAUAACAAGGUUUUUUCUACUGUGUUUGGUGAGUUUCCCUGGCUGAGAGUACACCAAGAAGUUGAUCUCCUGGUUGGGGGAGUAGCUCCUCCUUAAGGUUCUACAAAUUUGGUCCCAUUGAAGUCUCUCUGAAAGAGGAGUCUACUGAACAGCUAAUCUCUACAUUGCUACUGUAAUGGCUGCCUUUGUAGUCUUCAGUCUUGGCUCUGUUUUUGUUUUUGUUUUUUGUGUUUUUUUGAGUUAUUAAGUGCUUACUUAAUACCAGGCACUUUUGUUUUUAGGAGAGGAGCAAUGAGUUCAUGUUCCCUUUUGCCCAAUGACUGUCUGAAAAGAUGCUGCAGAGAUGGCUAAAGAAGAACAGACAAACAAGGAAAUCAAAACAAAAGAGUCAGAGGAAUGAAGGGCGAAAAUGUUGAAGAAUACAAAUAUUGUGUUUGUCAGGACUUUGGGGACAGUUUCAUAAAUGUAUUUCUUGCCAUCGUUGCAUAUUUUACUUGGACAUCCUGUCACUUCCUCUGUCCCCUCUAUAACAGAAAUAUUUGUUAGGAAGGUUAAAGUCACUAAAAAAGUUGUUUAUGUGGCAUGUUUCUUAGCAAGAGGUCUUCUAUUCCUCUGAAAAAUGUUAAAUUACAGAGGUCAACUAAGCCUAUAGAAGGAUUAAGCAGGCUCAGGUUAGAAGGCGCCAAAUAUACUUAAAAUUUUUUUAGAUAGAAAAUCUCUGGAGGAAAGAUGUAUCUCAGAGAUUAACCCUUAUGUAUAUGCUAAAAGUUUUUCCCCCAGCAUUAACAAUACCAACAGUCUCAAAGCCUGAGCACUAUAUAUUAGGUUGGUACAAAAGUAAUCGCGGUUUUUGCUAUUACUUUUAAUGGCAAAACCCAUAAUUACUUUUGCAGCAACCUAACAGCUUUUUAGACAAGUGGAUUGGAAAGGUAAUAUACACAUAUGAACUACAUUUUGGAAAUAGAAGGCAAAUAUACAGAAUAAAGCAACCAGCUCUUGUAAUCACAAUGCUUACAGUAGAUUACAGUUAACUUUUUAAGUGAUACAUGUAUUAAUAAGUAAAUAUAUAUCAUAUAUAUGAGAAAAAGAAGUUUGAUAUUGUGUAUAUAUGAUCUGCUGCCAUGCUUUUCUUCCACUGACAUUCUGAUCUACUUUUUUUGUGCUGGACCAACUUGUCAAGAAUUUGGGGUAUUUAAUCCAGGCAUGAUGGAACAAGGCAAAGCUUUAAAGAAAUCCAGUUGUCUUUUACAUCUAGACCUGAAAACCUGUGGUAUUUAGUCUCCACAAGAGUUGUAAAUCAAGUUGGAGACAAAUUAUUCUGUGACUAUUCAUUUAGUUAAAGCAGAUAACAUAUGAAAAAAUUAAAAAGUUAGGUGUUAUCUAUUUAGGUAUGACCUUAUCCUGGAAGGAUUUAUGGCCAAUAAAUAUUAGAUAGUAGAUAUUGUAACAGAGGGUUAAACAUAUUCAUAAAAAGUUUUUAAAAAUUCAUUAUGAUAAAUAUACAUGUGAAGUUUAGCAUUUUUACCAUCUUAAUGUACAGUUCUGUGACAUUAAGUGCGUUCGCUUGGUUGUGCAACCAUCCCCACCAUCCAUCUCCAGAACUUUUUCAUAUUCCUCAACUGAAACUCUGUACUUAUUAAACAAUAACUCCCUAUUCCCUCACCCCCUUUCCCCUGUUGACCACCAUUCUACUUUCUGUCUCCCUAAAUUUGACUACUCUAGGUACCUUAUAUAAGUGAAAUCAUACAAUAUUUGUCUUUUUGUGACUAGCUUGUUUCAUUUAGCACAAUUCUUCAAGAUUCAUCCAUGUUUUAGUAUGUGUCAGAAUUUCCUUCCUUUUUAA
rnacentral:lncRNA from 1 species